UUAUCAGAAAAUUUUAAGUUUAUUUAAGCUAAAAAAAUAAAAAUGGGUUUAUUUGGACAUCCUUACAAAGUUAAGGGCCAAUUUGACCCUUUAUCCGACUAACAAAUGACCCAACAACAACUAUUUAUAGUUUAUAUAUAAUCGAAUCAAGCAAUGAAAUUGAAAUUUUGCUAACUGACAAGUGGGUUUUCUUCAUCUUUGCUUAUAGAAAGAUCUGCUGCCUGAGUCCAUUUUGCUUGCGUUGUAAUCAAUGAGAGGGUAGCAGCUUGGCAAGAAAGGCCGCAGAUUAAGCCAAUCCACAAACCCUUGACAUAAAGCUUCAACUUGAAUCCAAGAAGACAUGCUAUUGGCAUGCCAAUGAUGUAAAAUGUUGCCAAGUUAGCAUAUACGGCUAAGUGCUGCCAACCACAUCCUCUGGCCACUCCUGUAGCAUCAUAAUAUCACUUGAUUAAUUAGACAUUAUGGAAAUGCAUUCAAGAUGAAGACCUGCUGAUUAAAGCCUCGAGCUUUUAGGUUAAGUGAUUUCUUUAAUAUAGAAUCAGUGCUCCUUUGAUUAAAAUGUUAUAGAGUUCAAAUCACAGCUUGAGGAGUGAUGGUGAUGCUAAAAGCCGAAAACUGCUCGACACUAUAGAAGAAAUGAAUGGUUCAAACCUGACAAGACACCUUGAAUGGAAUCAACUGUAAUGGAAAUUGCAAGGAAGGGUGCCAUGGGGGCAAAAUCCUUUAUUAUUGCACGGCUGUCACUGAACAUUGCAGCCCAGAUAUUAUGACCAAAUGCUAGAGCCAAAACAACUAUGAGGGCAAGGAAGACAGAGAGCUUGAGAGUCACAGCCAUAGCUCCCUUAGCACGGUCUGGAUUGCCCGCUCCCAACUCAUUAGAUACCCUUGUGCUUGCAACAGCACUGAGACCAUAGGUUAACAUGUAGGCUACAGCUUCUGUGUUCACGCAUAUUGCAAUUAAUGAGGUAGUUAUCUUAGAGUUUGGCAUUAUUCCUGCUACAAGCACCAGAACCUCAAAAGCCCAAUACUCCAAGCUAGCAAAAGAAUUAAAAAGGAAAAAAAGGAAAAGAAAAGUGAAUUGAAAUUUUUUUAGUGUUCAUGAAAUGAAUAUAUCUCAUAUUCCUGUUGAGUAUGAUGUUGUUCUGAAAACAUGGCAAGGAUAAUUAAACACACAAGACCUCUUAGUUGAACUAAGUUUUGAGGAAUUUUAUAUCGGAUUGCUAAUAUGAAAUAGAAGAUGAUAUCUUCUGUAUGUCAGCAAUGAAUUUUGGUAGACUUAGUUGUGGUUAAAGGACUAAUACAAAGAAUUUGCCUUGUAAACGUCAACUAUGAGGAAGAGAGAAUUUCAUGAAUGAUGGGGCUCCUUACCAUACCAUUGCAGCAGAGGGAAGAGCUAGUUUUAUGUUGAUAAGAAUGUAGCUGAAUGAUUCGAAUGAAAAUCCAUCCCACGUGUGCUCAAAUUUCUUUGCAAUUAUCACAUACAUAGCCAAAAUAAGAACUGAUAACCACAAUGAAAUUGAAACUGCGAGUGGAGCUCCCUUGAACCCAAGAGCUGUGCAGUGAAUCAAAGCAUAAGCAAUACCAAUAUGAAUGCACAUUGGUAUAAUUGAGAAUAGGACAAGGGGCAUGACAACAGAUUGUGUCUGAAGAAACCUCAAGAUGUUCUGCAGGAAUCCAUAUGCAAAUAAUCCAGGAAUGAGAUACUUCAUAUAGAGAGCAGCAGUGACAGAAAUUUGCGGAUCUUGAUGCAUUGAGACCAAAAUUGACUCCGUAUAAAACCAGAUUACAGAGAUGAUAAUGGAAAAGCAGAAUGAUAUGGCGCAGGACGCUUGCAGAUAAAUUCCCAACCUUCUAUACAAUUUAGCACCAAAGCCUUGGCCACAAAGUGUUUCAAGCGAUCCACUUAAACCUAUCAAGAAGGCAAAGCCAGUGACGCUGGCCCAGGAAUUGGCGAGAGUGGCGCCAGCAAGCUCAAGCUCACCAAGGUGGCCAGCAAACAUGACCGAAACUAAAGGUAUCAAAUAGUAGAAAACAUUAGUAAGAAUCAUGGGUAGGGAAAAAAAGAUUUGUUUCUUGGCCUCCUCCACAUCUAACACCUUCUUCCACCAGAACUUUCUCCUGCUUUCUUCUUUCUCCUCUUUUUUUCCACCGCCAUCUAACCUUGCGUUUGACAACAAUUGGAUCUGCUCCUCCCUUGGCUGCUGCUGCUGCUUGUCCAUCUUCAUCUCUAUAUUACUCUUGAUCGGAGGCCGAGGCACUGCGAUGAACCUUACACCAAUGAUAAGCCCAGAAUGGUGAGAAAUUGAGAAUACAAAGCGGCUACUCAACUAGGCCGUUUUCUAAUAAGAUGAGAUCUCACGUUUUUCUUAAAAAAAAUAUUUAUUUUAUUAUAUUUAAAAUUUUUAAAUAAAUUCAAAGUAAUUAAUUAGAUUAACUCUAUUAAAUUAUGAAUAUUCUAAUUUAUUUUUAAAAAAUGAGCGACGGAACUGAGUGUCAACAAAUAUUAUGAUUUGAUCGAAGAUUCAUAUGGAAGGUGUACACUUGAAAGAUGUGACUGUGAUGUAUGUGAUAUUUUCUCGUUGGUGUUUGUGGGGUCCCCCCCAAACGUAGGCUAUUUUGGCAAUAUAUUGUUAUUGUCAACUGAAAUCCUUUUCCUCGUUUUGUCAUUGUCGUCUCCUUAAUUACUCUCUG
rnacentral:misc_RNA from 1 species